AGUUGUAAAAAAGAUCAUGUUUAAUUGAAAAGUCAGCAAAGUUGGCUCAGCUGUGUUUUAGAGAGUUGCAAAAGAGAUCAUGUCGAGCUUUGUUUCUCGAGGUUUUCUCCAAAAAAGAGAGUUAUUUUUACCGGCGCCAUCAGAACAACGCCGCCGUCUCUGGGUUUUCUCCAAUCCUCCACCGGAAGGAAUUUUACAGACAUCUCUUCCGCUUCAAACAUCAAACCCCGCCCAUUCUUUCCUCUGCCAAUUAGAGAACGUGCCUUACUGUUUUCGGCUUUUGAGCUGUUGUUUUGUUCGGAAACCGCGAAAGUUAACUUUUCGGCUUUUGAGCUGUUGUUUUCAGGGCGGGAAUCGGACACGACAAUGGCUGAUUACGAUACGAGGAAGAUCAGGAACAUAUGUAUUCUAGCACAUGUUGAUCAUGGGAAGACCACGCUUGCCGACCACCUUAUCGCGGCCUCUGGGGGCGGGGUCCUACACCCGAAGCUCGCGGGUAAGCUCCGGUUCAUGGACUACUUGGACGAGGAGCAGAGGCGAGCUAUUACCAUGAAGAGCUCUUCGAUUGGUCUCCACUAUAAGGACUACUCCAUCAAACUGUCGGAUUCCCGCGGAGUAAUUUUAGUUCCGAGCCGUCUGAGCUUGUAGUGCUUCUUCCCGCUCAGUUUCCAGUUCUCCUCCGAGCUGCGAUCUCGUAGAUCUGAGGUGCUGUCGUAUCCGGCGAACUUCGGUGAUGUCGAUGCUCCGAGGUUUCUCCGCCGCCGUUGGGCAGCUCCGUCUCCUGCUCUGUUCGCAGUUGGAAGAUUCCGAAACCAGGAAGUUGUCGAAAUUGUCGCUUCCGUGACAUUCUUCUCCUUGGAAAACAGUGUGCUGACGAUGUAAUUCUGUCUUCCUCAUUCGAGUGAAGGAAUAUCUGUAGAUCUCCUGUGUUCCCUUCUGAAUCUUUUGGCUGUCUUCUGCAUUGUUUCAUUGAGCGAUGCCAGUGUGUCUUCGCAGGCUAUCCCUGAUAUUCCCUUGCGAGCUAAUAUACCGACCCAUAGAACAUGGAAGAAACACGUCUCCCCUCUGAGAGCACCAGAACCUGGUUUUGUCAUAUCACCAGCACAUCCACCACACUAUGGCCCCUUGAUUACUUCUGGUCAUCCUCCUGCAAGUUCUCGUCUGUCCAGACCAUCAAUGAAGAGCAGCACUCUGGUGCCUCCACCAGUUGGCAUGCAAGUCAUUGCCCCUUCUCAGUACGUUCCCGGUGCCGUUCCUGGCGGUUGAGCUGAGCCUCCACUGACACCUUAUGCCUCACAUUGUUGCAAACUAGACACGGUGUUGAAACGAGGGGUUCAAGCUCCUCUUGUGGCAGCAUCGCCUAUAGCAGCGCGACCACAUCAGCCUACUGCCAAGCCGUCUGCCGCUUCAGAUGGAGAAAGUCAUUCCAAUCUGGUUUUUAUUAUCGGUAUUGCUGCUGGGAUUGCAAUUGUUCUUUCUAUAGCUAUGAUAAUUAUUUGUGCAUGCGAAUUCAGAUGAGGAAAUACUAAAGCAUCUGAGGAAGUCGUGGAUAAGGAUAUUGGUAUGUAUAUUAUGUGAUUAGAGACUAUGAUAUGUUCCAUCAUAAUCAAGUGUUUCCACAGGAUGCACUGUUCACGGUUGGUGGAACAGCCAAAAUGUCCGCAGCAUUCUGGUACCCUGUUAAUGGAAACCCAUGGCAUGGAUCGGGCCACUUUUUCUUCAACUGCGACUGGGUCUCAAUGGACAUAUCCUCUGGCAAGUCACUCCUCACAAAGACUGCCUCGUCGGGUAGUUCAUGGGAUGCUGCAGGUUUUGUUAAGACGGUCCAUAUGCUUCAAAUGGUCAGAAGGGUACAUAUUACUUUGAAUUCUCACAGCCUUUGAGAACGAUGGAUCGCCUUCAAUGGGAUGCACAGUUCACGGUUGGUGGAGCGGCUGAAAUGUUCGCAGCAUUCUGGUACCCUGUUAAUGGAAACCCAUGGCAUGGAUCGGGCCACUUCUCCAUCAACUACGACUGGGUCUCAAUGGACAUAUCCUCUGGUAAGUCACUACUCACAAAGAUCGCCUCGUUGGGUAGUUUGUGGGAUGCUGCAAGUGCUUUCUCUCUACUAUUCUCGGUGAUAUCCCUGUGCCUAUCUGUUUUCAUAGCCUAUCGGAUUUUCGGACCCAAGUCCGCUCAAUAUAUGCCCAUGGAGAUAUCUCUAGGGUAGUUUGCUCUUGUCCUACUUAGGAAUUGGACUGUUGAUAAAUGAGAGACUGUACUGCUUUGGGUUUUAGUACUUCAAAAUUUUGCCAUUCAGAGUCCAAUUCUUUAGAUCAAUAAAGUCUCACUUUAUCUUUUUUUCUUUUUGUUUUUGAGGGCUUUUUCAUAAGUAGUGGGUGUCCUUAUUGAAUUCCACUUUUGUGCUGCUUUUUGGUUUGCUUUCUGUGUCAUGUCCUUACAGUUUAUUAAUAAAUACAUGCCCUUAUCUUCUUGUGAA